rnacentral:rRNA from 1 species
UACGUAGGGGGCAAGCGUUGUCCGGAUUUAUUGGGCGUAAAGAGCGUGUAGGCGGCCGUACAGGUCAGCUGUGAAGACUCGAGGCUCAACCUCGAGACGUCGGUUGAAACCGUACGGCUAGAGUCCGGAAGAGGAGAGUGGAAUUCCCGGUGUAGCGGUGAAAUGCGCAGAUAUCGGGAAGAACACCCGUGGCGAAGGCGGCUCUCUGGGACGGUACUGGACGCUGAGACGCGAAAGCGUGGGGAGCGAACAGG